UCAGCCUCCCAAAGUGCUGGCAUUACAGGCGUGGGGAAUUUUGUGACUUUUUUUAAAAACAGGGUGUUUCAACCUCAGCGCUUUUUUCACUGGAGGCUGAAUCAUGUUUUGUGGUGGGAGCUGUUCUGCAUGUUGUAGGAUGUUUGCGAGCAUCCCUAGUCUCUAGUCUCUACUCAGUAAAUGCUCGUAGCAUCAGAUUGUCUCCAG